GUGGUCGGUGGACAGGUUGGUGCAUGGUUGUCGUCAGCUCGUGUCGUGAGAUGUUGGGUUAAGUCCCGCAACGAGCGCAACCCUCGUCCUAUGUUGCCAGCGGGUCAUGCCGGGGACUCAUAGGGAGACUGCCGGGGUCAACUCGGAGGAAGUGGGAUGACGUCAAAUCAUCAUGCCCCUUAUGUCUUGGGCUUCACGCAUGCUACAAUGGCCGGUACAAAGGGCUGCGAUACCGCGAGGUGGAGCGAAUCCCAGAAAGCCGGUCUCAGUUCGGAUUGGGGUCUGCAACUCGACCCCAUGAAGUCGGAGUCGCUAGUAAUCGCAGAUCAGCAACGCUGCGGUGAAUACGUUCCCGGGCCUU
rnacentral:rRNA from 1 species